GACGAACGCUGGCGGCGUGCUUAACACAUGCAAGUCGAACGGUGACGGAGGAGCUUGCUCCUCCUGAUCAGUGGCGAACGGGUGAGUAACACGUGAGCAAUCUGCCCCUGACUCUGGGAUAACUGCGGGAAACUGUAGCUAAUACCGGAUACGACGCGCUACGGCAUCUUCUGCGCGUGGAAAGAAUUUCGAUCAGGGAUGAGCUCGCGGCCUAUCAGCUUGUUGGUGAGGUAAUGGCUCACCAAGGCGACGACGGGUAGCCGGCCUGAGAGGGUGACCGGCCACACUGGGACUGAGACACGGCCCAGACUCCUACGGGAGGCAGCAGUGGGGAAUAUUGCACAAUGGGCGGAAGCCUGAUGCAGCAACGCCGCGUGAGGGACGACGGCCUUCGGGUUGUAAACCUCUUUUGGCAGGGAAGAAGCGAAAGUGACGGUACCUGGAGAAAAAGCACCGGCUAACUACGUG
rnacentral:rRNA from 1 species